ensembl:lncRNA novel transcript, antisense to IMP3
GUACGUGCCCUUGCUCCACAAAGGCCACGGCAGCCUGAAGGUGCUGCGCCAUGCGCAGCUUGAGGAGCACGGUGGGGAGGCGGCGGCGGCAGAAGGACGAGGCCGUGACGAAGUCGCAGAGCUCCAGCGAACCGCGCGUGGGCACCAAGCCGAGAGCAUACAGCUUGUCCAGCAGCGCGGCCGAAGCGCGCACGCGGAACUGGUCGCGUUCGGGCAGGUCGCGCAGGCGCCGCGCCAGCUCACGCACGGCACGGCUCAGCUGGUUGUAGCGCGUGUAGUCCUCCCGCCGCUGCAGCCGGUAACGCCGCAGCACGCGCAGCUCGUGCAGGUUGUGGUCGGUGACCUCCCAGUUCAGGAAGUCCACCUGCUUCAGCAGCUUCUGCUCGUGGAACUUAAGCUUCCGCACCAUGAUGGCGGCAGCCGCAGCCGCAGGACCCGAAGCUGAGAGCGCGUUCUGGCAUCCGCGCGAUUUCCGCCGCGGCGCCCCAAGACCUGGACGGCCUGGGACCCUGGGCCAAUGAAAGAAAGACUUAAAGUCACGCCCUCACUUCCCAUUGGCCAGGGUGGGACCACGCCUCUGCACUGGGAUCUCGCGUUUCUUCUUUUCUUCGCGUUUGCGAGGGAGGGGGUAGAAGCACCGGAGGUGGGUGGUUGGGAGCGGGUCCCUAGGCGGUUCCGCGCGGUUUUUAGUAGCCAAGACUGUAUCCCUUUCUGCGGCAAUCAUUUCCUCCUAGACUUCUGUCCUUUGGGGACUUUCAGAGUCUCCCCCGCAAGAGCUGAAGAGGCCAUUUCUGGGGAAGAGGGGUGACUGCGGCUUGUUGAUUGGGUUUACUGUGCUAACUUGCACUGGGCUCCUGCCAUGCCUUGGGGGAGCUUGCCGGAGCCGGCUCUCCUGGGGCUGACCUGGUAGUCCCCGCCGCCCGCCAGCGUCAGGUCCUUCACCUGGCAUGCAGAGCGAUCUCUCAUUGUCAAGUUGGGAUAGGUGGCACCGAACCCAUGAAAUACUGAUUGGCUGCUUCCUAGGCCCACAGAAAAGGGAUCUAUAAGGGAGUCGCCUGGAAAUCUGUAUUAUUAACUAAAGUGUCAGAUGAUUCAUAAAACCCAGCAAGUUUGAGAAACUUGGACUAUAACUACAAGUCCAAACCCUUUAGUCUGUGCUCAAAUGAAUUAUCCUGACAUGAAUUUCUGGCCACCAAGCAUUGAGUUAACAAAUUUAA